CUCACCUUAGCUCAGUUGGAUUAGAGCGUGGGAUUGUAAUUAGCUACACAGUGCGCUCUGCGCCCUCCCGAGGCCGUGCGUUCGAUUCGCACAGGUGAGA